AAUACACCUGGUACAAGGAGAAUGAAGACUCACCAAAAGCAUCAGGACAGAACUUCACCAUCACUGACUUCAGAGCUGAACACAGUGGGAAUUAUUACUGUGAAGCCCAGAACAGAAGAGGACGUCAUAACUCCACCUUACAUCUGAUUGUUGUGGCAGGUUCAUUGAAAUUUCCAGUUGUUCUAUCAGUCAUUGCUGUUGUUCUGGUCUUCAUACUUCUUCUCUCUGUCUUCAUAUGGAUUAGAAGAAAGAGGUCUUUGCGACAACAACCUGAGGCUGAUGAGACACCACACAACAGAGCAGAGGAGACAGAUGAACUUCAGUAUGCAAGCGUACAGUUCGUUAGGAACGAGUCAGAGGCUCUCUACUCCAACUUCAGCCCAGCUCAGCCCCUCAGAAACGAGGAGGAGCUUGUUUACGCGACCUCCAUCUUCAACAGUGCCGCAGGAACAAGGCCUCAAGCAGCUGUGGAGGAUGUAUCUGCCCUGUACAGCAGAGUUAGUAGACGACACUGAGUGUGGUGACAACAUGGAUCUGUGGUCUGUAUUUAUGCAUGGACUUUCUAUGCCUUUUCUUAGCAGGUGGCCCCAUUUGAUUUUUCCUCAGGACAGACUGGGCCAAGAAUGCAGAAUCAAGGCAACAAUAUUUAAUUUAUACCUCAAUUAGAGUAAUGAAGGACAGGUAGAUUAAAUAUUAGACAUCUCUCUAACAGUUUGAACAAAAACUGAACAUUAAAACCUUCAUUAAGGUAGAAUUCAUACAGGACUGUUAAACUGCAUUAAUUAUGGCUCGGUGUACCUAAUAAUAAAUUUCCCCUUUUUCAAGACUAUUUUAAUUAUAAGUUCACGACUGGCUGUAAUGUAAGUCAGUCACAUUUCUUGUCAAUAUUCAUAUGUUUAGUUUGUAUAUUUCUCUAUGUAGUUUUAAAACUGUGAACGUUUCUCAUGUUUGCUUCGUCUUGAAUGAAAAAUAGUGAGUAAGACACAAGGAAAGACCUUUUCUUUCUUUCCUUCCUUGUUUGGCCUGAUGAAUGACUGUUGGUAAUAUUCUUUUUAAAAUGUAUUUUUAGCUGCAUUUUAAGACUUUGGCAUGGAGUUUGUAUUUCAAUCUGAUUAAACAAAACAUUUUUCAUUUAUUUUUUUGUUAUAAACAUUUUAGGGCAUGCAUUAACUUUAUAAACAAUAGGUUUUGGGGGGUGAUAUGAAUUCUCUAAACUGUGGUUUGCUAAUCUGUACGUAUGAUGGUGCUAACAGAGUUCAAAGGAGGGCAGUUUGUUUCUUAUCCAGUUUGUCUUUUAGUAGUUUAAAGCACUGAAGUGGUUGGUGAUCUAUUGUUUCUCAUAUACAUAGUGUAUAGUUCAUCCAAGUGUAGUAUUUUGUCAUUCCUCUCUGUCCGUAAUGAACUUGACAAAAGACCAGGGCCGAUUUUUUGUCCCAGUCCAGCCCUGUCCACAGCUGUUUGAGGCCUUGUUCUGUGAAGGAAUCAAUAAUUAAAAGGAAGAAAACAGACACAUGCAACAGCAAAAAUGUGUGAUUAAAUACUCUGACACUUUCAAA